UUCUGAUUUGUUUAUGUUUAUUAGGCUAAAGGGAUGAUUUUUGCAUAUCGUUCAAUUUGUAUGGUGAAUAUGGCAAUUUUGAGAAAUGGGCCCAGGCACGAGACAAAAUAGAAAACUUGGAGAAGACGUUGAAUGACAAAAAGCGGCACAACCAAUUAACACCGGCAGAGCUACGUUUGAUAAGAUCGAUGAGAGAGAGAUGCAGGCGCGAGUUACCUGUGUGCGUCUCUUCUUUAAAGUCUACGACAAAAAUGAGGUCAAUACGAAAAAGACAACUAAAUGGGACGUUAACACUUUCAGUGACUUUUUGCCCCAAAGACAGAACAAUUGUGAUUUCGAGAUCUACUCUGCUUCUCUUUUAAAUGAGAUAUUGCAGGAGUUUUAUGACUCUGUUCAGUCUACAGGAACAAUUCUGAGAUUAACAACUUGGUGAGAGUGUAGGACAGUGAAAAUCUGAAAAUGAAACAAAUAAAAUAUUACAAUUGUGUACAUUGCAAUACAGUUCUUGGCAAAUGUUGCACAUGUGCAGCAAAUAAUAAAAUAAAUGUCUACGAUUUAAAACACAAGAUUAAUAUCUAAAUUACAUCACUAAGGGUGGCUUGCACCAACAAGGAUUAAUGUAAAGAGAGCUUAUCUAGAGGUUGUUGAUCCCAUAGUUCUUUUAAUUGGAGUUGUGUUGCACUACAAUUUUAAACUCUGAUUAACAAAUCUUAGAUUAAUCAUUGUAAGAUGACAAGGAUUGGGCUGGUUUAGGUAGUUAUAGUCAUGGUCAAAAUUAUAUGCACCGUAGUCUGCAAGUGAACACGCACUGAACAACCAAGCGCAAGAACAAAUUGUUAAAUAAAAUCAUUUGUUUUGUUUUCUUUGCGUGCAAAAGUGUUCCCGUUGCUUUAUAAUAUUAUUAUUGAACUACUGAUGGAACAUGGACCUUUUAGGUGAUGUCUUUCAUUCUUUUCUCGGAAAAGAAAUGAGAAACAAACUGAAGUCUAUUGGACAGACUAUUGGAUAUUGUUUCAUCAACAAUAUCUAAAAAUGUGUUCUAAAGACAAUCCGAGGGCUUGGCGGUUUAGAAUGACACAUUUUGGGGUGAAUUACCCCUUUAAGAAAGUAUAGACACAUUUGAUGGUGUUAAUCAUUUCCCUGAUUGCGGAAAUGGGAAUUGUCAAUGCUUUAGCAGUUUUCAUCCAAACACUUUCUAAUUUGUGAGGCACAACACACAUCUUUUACUACACAUCAACUAUAAGGGUGGGAGUCGUUUGUAGCAUUGCUCUCGUUGCUGACUGCAUCAAGCCUUAGCCCUACAUCACAGCAAAAGCAGCAGUGUUAAAGUCGCCAUGAAAAUAAAAUGAAAAACUGUAAUAUGUUUUGUAAUACUGUGGUAGUUGUUACAAAUUACUUAUCUGUGAGCUUCAUUAUUUAAAAAAAAUUAAUGGGCCCUCAUAAUCAAAUAAAAAAUGCAAAUCUCUUCCCCCCCUCAAAACGAUCUCUCUUUACUUCCGGUCAUAUGGUAUGUCCGGUGGGUGGGGUCCCGGGAGAAGAUCGCUGCAAUUAACUUUAAACAAUCCUAUCAGAUCUCGAUGGACAAAUUUAAAUCCAGACUUGCCUGGGUUUUUAUUUCAAAAGCCAAUUUCGUUCAGAUAUACAUCACCACGAGGAAAAUUUGGCAAUUAAUACUUCCGUUUCAUGGCAACUUAAAAUGUACAUCACUGAUGUAUUUGAGGCUCACCCACAGAUGUGCAAAGUAUAAUUGAAGCAGUGUUAAAUCUAUCUAAUCAGUCUGUUAACAACAGGAGCUAAUCAUCAUUUGUAAAGUAAACUUAGAGUUUAGUAGGGAUGCACCCAAUUUUCGGCAACCGAAAAAGUGAAAAGGCUGAAUAAAUUGUACAGAAUAAUGAGUCAAUCUGUUAAUAAUUAGUUUAGUUAACAAUUAGUUUUUUUGUUAGACAGCUUUGUUGAGGGCGCUUUUUCCCCUGCCAUCUGUCAAUCUUGCCGCCGUCUCUCGCGCUCUCUGCUUGUCGUACCUCUUACUAGACCAUGCACACAGGCAUGUGUCUGCUGCUCAACAUACAGUACAGUGCUAUAUGAGCAUCAUUGCAAGUUUCUUUAGGCAGAGUAAUUAAUAUAGGUUAUUUGGAUUUUGUGCAGGAAUAGAAGAUCGGAUUUACAUUUGUUUAGGCAAGUCGAAUGUAAAUGGAACCGUUUUAACAAGUCUUUCUAUAGCUGUCUGAUCAGAGAAGUGACCAGGUGUAAAAAGACCCUAUAAUGACAGCUGGAAAGUAAAAAAAAUCAUUGUUAAAUAAAGUGAAAUAAAUAAAUAGUAAAUAGGACAUUCUGAUUGUAACUCGUUCAAUGGUGAGAAAAUUGGCAAAUUAAUUAGGAAAAUGCUUCGGCUGAGUUUUUCAUUAUCUUAAGCUUUGGCCAAGAUUUUUUCUUUCGGUGCUUUCGUAGAGUUUAGUUUGAUUUAACUGAGAUAAAAAGUGGCUCUGCUGUUUACACAAAAAGGCAGAAAAAGAGCAAACAUGACUAGAUUUGAACAGACAUUUCUCACUCAUAUUUAGUGUUUUUUGUUUUAUCAGUGAUUAUUGACUAAACUCUGUUAUGAUGAACAUGUUAAAUAUAAGAUAUUAGAAUGUUUUAUACAUUAAAGGCGGAGUGCAAAAUGUUUGAAAAACGCUUUGAAAAAGGGAGUCAGCCGACUACCAAAACACACUUGUAGCUUAUCAGCAGUAAGGGGCGUGUCUACUAACCGACAUCCUUGCCAGGGUUGCAUAUGUGUGGGGCAGAUCUAUCAAAAGAAGGUCCAGAUUUUAUUAGGGUAGGGGCAUGUUUGUUUAGGUGAUUUCAAAUGUCAACAUUGGCUUUCAAACAUUGUGCACUCCGCCUUUAAAGGAUCUGUGUUUAUUAAGAUGCUAUUGAUUGCUAAUUGUCUUUGUGACAUUGGAGUUUGGAUCAAUUAAAACGUUGAAGGUAUCUUGACAGUCACUCAAAACGUAUACUUACGAAGGCAAAGACCCUCAGGGAAUAGCUCUUUAAAGAGCCUUUGGGACUUUUUUAGCUGCUUUUGACACAAAAAGGAAGAAAAAGAGAAAACAUGACUAGAUUUGAACAGACAUAUCUCACUCAUAUUCAGUAUUUUCUGUUUUAUCAGUGAUUAUUGACUAAACUCUGUUAAGAUGAAAAUUUCAAAUAUUAGAUGUAGGAUGCUAGAAUGUUUUAUACAUUAAAGAACUGUAUUAAGAUGCUGUUUAUUGCUAAUUGGCUUUUUGACAUUGUUUCAAUUGAUUCAGACUCAAAACAGUCAGUCAAAAGGUAUACUUACGAAGACAAAGAAACUCAGGGGAUAGCUCUUAAAAGACACUCACUGGAGCUGUAAAUGGGAAGCAGAAAUACUCUUUAACCUGCCCACUGGAGCUGGGAAUGCAAUUUGGGACAUUCUUCCAUUUGUCGGCAACUUUGUGAAAAAGGCUAGAAACUAAAAUGCAGAAUUCUGGCCUGGUGUUUGGUCUGUGCUGUCUUUGGCUCUUGCAUCUCCAUCAUCCUGACCCUCUUUAGCAGCCUGUCCAUGUAUUUAUUUGGAGGCCACCUUGAGCACCCAUCUGCAUAAUAUGACUUUGUUA